rnacentral:rRNA from 1 species
UACGUAGGGUGCAAGCGUUGUCCGGAAUCACUGGGCGUAAAGCGCGCGUAGGCGGGUCGUUAAGUCAGGGGUGAAAUCCUGGAGCUCAACUCCAGAACUGCCUUUGAUACUGGCAAUCUCGAGUCCGGGAGAGGUGAGUGGAACUGCGAGUGUAGAGGUGAAAUUCGUAGAUAUUCGCAAGAACACCAGUGGCGAAGGCGGCUCACUGGCCCGGUACUGACGCUGAGGUGCGAAAGCGUGGGGAGCAAACAGG